AUUGAACGCUGGCGGCAUGCCUUACACAUGCAAGUCGAACGGCAGCACGGGAGCAAUCCUGGUGGCGAGUGGCGAACGGGUGAGUAAUAUAUCGGAACGUGCCCAGUCGUGGGGGAUAACGUAGCGAAAGCUACGCUAAUACCGCAUACGAUCUAUGGAUGAAAGCGGGGGAUCGCAAGACCUCGCGCGAUUGGAGCGGCCGAUAUCAGAUUAGGUAGUUGGUGGGGUAAAGGCUCACCAAGCCGACGAUCUGUAGCUGGUCUGAGAGGACGAACAGCCACACUGGGACUGAGACACGGCCCAGACUCCUACGGGAGGCAGCAGUGGGGAAUUUUGGACAAUGGGCGCAAGCCUGAUCCAGCAAUGCCGCGUGCAGGAUGAAGGCCUUCGGGUUGUAAACUGCUUUUGUACGGAGCGAAAAGGCUUCCACUAAUACUGGGGGCUCAUGACGGUACCGUAAGAAUAAGCACCGGCUAACUACGUGCCAGCCGCCGCAGUAAAAC
rnacentral:rRNA from 1 species